rnacentral:rRNA from 1 species
UACAGGCUUAACACAUGCAAGUCGAGGGGCAGCAUGGUCUUAGCUUGCUAAGGCCGAUGGCGACCGGCGCACGGGUGAGUAACGCGUAUCCAACCUGCCUUACACUCUUGGACACCCUUCUGAAAGGGAGAUUAAUACAAGAUGUUAUCAUGAGUAAGCAUUUUCGCAUGAUUAAAGGUUUACCGGUGUAAGAUGGGGAUGCGUUCCAUUAGAUAGUAGGCGGGGUAACGGCCCACCUAGUCUUCGAUGGAUAGGGGUUCUGAGAGGAAGGUCCCCCACAUUGGAACUGAGACACGGUCCAAACUCCUACGGGAGGCAGCAGUGAGGAAUAUUGGUCAAUGGACGAGAGUCUGAACCAGCCAAGUAGCGUGAAGGAUGAAGGUUCUAUGGAUUGUAAACUUCUUUUAUACGGGAAUAAACGAAUCCACGUGUGGAUUUUUGCAUGUACCGUAUGAAUAAGGAUCGGCUAACUCCGUGCCAGCAGCCGCGGUAAUACGGAGGAUCCGAGCGUUAUCCGGAUUUAUUGGGUUUAAAGGGAGCGUAGAUGGGUUGUUAAGUCAGUUGUGAAAGUUUGCGGCUCAACCGUAAAAUUGCAAUUGAUACUGGCAGUCUUGAGUACAGUUGAGGUAGGCGGAAUUCGCGGUGUAGCGGUGAAAUGCUUAGAUAUCACGAAGAACUCCGAUUGCGAAGGCAGCUUACUAACCUGUAACUGACAUUGAUGCUCGAAAGUGUGGGUAUCAAACAGGAUUAGAUACCCUGGUAGUCCACACGGUAAACGAUGAAUACUCGCUGUAGGCGAUAUACAGUCUGCGGCCAAGCGAAAGCAUUAAGUAUUCCACCUGGGGAGUACGCCGGCAACGGUGAAACUCAAAGGAAUUGACGGGGGCCCGCACAAGCGGAGGAACAUGUGGUUUAAUUCGAUGAUACGCGAGGAACCUUACCCGGGCUUAAAUUGCAACCGAAUAUGGCGGAAACGCUAUAGCUAGCAAUAGCGGUUGUGAAGGUGCUGCAUGGUUGUCGUCAGCUCGUGCCGUGAGGUGUCGGCUUAAGUGCCAUAACGAGCGCAACCCUUGCCGAUAGUUACUAACAGGUCAUGCUGAGGACUCUGUCGGGACUGCCAUCGUAAGAUGUGAGGAAGGUGGGGAUGACGUCAAAUCAGCACGGCCCUUACGUCCGGGGCUACACACGUGUUACAAUGGGGGGUACAGAGGGCUGCUACCACGCAAGUGGAUGCCAAUCCCAAAAACCUCUCUCAGUUCGGAUUGAAGUCUGCAACCCGACUUCAUGAAGCUGGAUUCGCUAGUAAUCGCGCAUCAGCCACGGCGCGGUGAAUACGUUCCCGGGCCUUGUACACACCGCCCGUCAAGCCAUGGGAGCCGGGGGUACCUGAAGUGCGUAACCGCAAGGAGCGCCCUAGGGUAAAACUGGUGACUGGGGCUAAGUC